rnacentral:rRNA from 1 species
GAUGAACGCUGGCGGCGUGCCUAAUACAUGCAAGUCGAGCGAACAGAUGAGGAGCUUGCUCCUCUGACGUUAGCGGCGGACGGGUGUGUAACACGUGGAUAACCUACCUAUAAGACUGGGAUAACUUCGGGAAACCGGAGCUAAUACCGGAUAAUAUAUUGAACCGCAUGGUUCAAUAGUGAAAGACGGUUUUGCUGUCACUUAUAGAUGGAUCCGCGCCGCAUUAGCUAGUUGGUAAGGUAACGGCUUACCAAGGCAACGAUGCGUAGCCGACCUGAGAGGGUGAUCGGCCACACUGGAACUGAGACACGGUCCAGACUCCUACGGGAGGCAGCAGUAGGGAAUCUUCCGCAAUGGGCGAAAGCCUGACGGAGCAACGCCGCGUGAGUGAUGAAGGUCUUCGGAUCGUAAAACUCUGUUAUUAGGGAAGAACAAAUGUGUAAGUAACUAUGCACGUCUUGACGGUACCUAACCAGAAAGCCACGGCUAACUACGUG